rnacentral:ncRNA from 1 species
AUUGAGUUUGAUUUGUUCUUUUCAAUUAAUUCUUUAAUGGAUUUAUAUGUAUAAUGUUGGAUUUAUUUCUUUGUCAGUAAAUAGUUUUUUUUAUUAAUAUUCAUUUUUAUUAAAUUAAUUAUUAAAUUUAAAUUAAAGUUGUGCCAGCAUUUGCGGUUAUACAAUUUAAAUGAGUUAAUUUUUUUAAUCAUAAUUUUUUUUUAUUGAAUUACAUUUUUUUAAUUUGGGUGGAAUUUUUUAUUUGAUUUAAUUUUCUUUAUUUAAUUUAUUUUAAGUCUUUAUUUUAAAUUAGGAUUAGAUACCCUAUUAUUAAUUGAUUUAUUUAUUUUUGUUUUAUUAUUAAUGGUUAUGUCCCAUGAAAUUUGAAUAAUUUGGCAGUGACUCUUACUUAGGGGAAUCUGAAUUAUAAUUGAUAUACCACGAUAGUUUUUACUUUAAUUUUAUUUGUAUAUCUCUAUGUUAGAUAUUAUUUUAUUAGAAUUAAUUUUUAAUUUUUUUUUUUCUGAAAUAAUGUUAGGUCAAGGUGCAGUUUUAUUAAAGUAAAUUUGGAUUACUUAAAUUUUAUUUAUUUUUGUAUUAUAAUUAUUGUUAAUUUUUUGAAAUAGGACUUGAUAGUAAUUUUUAAUAAUUUUUUAUAUUGAAAUUAUUAUGAUUCAUGUACAUAUUGCCCGUCAUUCUCAUUUUAGUUGAGACAAGUCGUAACAAAGUAAUUGUACUGGAAAGUGUAAUUGGAUU